CCGCAUCAAACCCUGACCGAUCACAGCCCAAUCUUUGCUUCUCUCCAAAUUCUUCUUCUCCAUCCUGGUCAUCUAUUAAGCCUACCGAGACUCCCAAAUCCAUGCACUUCUUGCUAUGUGCCUUUGACUUCAUAUGUUUUGUCAAAUUUCCUUUAGUUUUGAAGGAGAAGUUGCAGUAAUUGCAAUGAUAAGGACGGACAUCUGUAUGUGUGCGAAUAUGCUUCUUCAGCAUACUAGGCUUCUUGCAACGUAUUCCACAUUCUUCACAGAUAUAUUUCCCUCUUCCUCUCCCCCGAACAUACACAUAGUCUUCAUUUGAUUUGUACCCUCCAUCGAAGAUUUUCACCCUUCUUGGCUCGCUUUUGAUAAAGGAAUUUUCUUUAUCGUGUUCAGUGCUCGACUCGGAGCUUUCCUUAUUGCUGAAUUCAGAUGCAGUUAUUUUUUUCCUAUUUAACGCUCGCUUGGUUAAGCUGUUCUUCCACUUGCUUGAAUAGACCAGUAUAUCCG
rnacentral:lncRNA from 1 species